CACAGUGCAUUGUGAUUAUUGAUAAGAGUUUUACUGAUCAAACUGAUAUCACUGAUAUCAGUCACAAUUUUGUAUUUACAGGUCCACGGACUACGAAGACCCGAUGUCUUAAAAUCUUUAGUUUUUUUUAGUUAACGUUUUAUAAAAUAUUUUCCAAGUGUAGUUGCAUUCAAAUACUUCAUAAAAACGUUUUACACAAAUCACUAGUUAUUUUUUUAGAGUCGACACUACUGUUAAUGAUAAUAAUAGUGAAAUUGUUUCUCGAUCAUCUGAAUUAGCACCUAUUGGUUUUGAUCAAAAUCAAAUUCUUGUAAAACCAUGGAUUCCUACUAUUACAUAUGUAAUUUGGAAAUAUUACAGGAAUGUAAUGAACAUACAAGCUUUGAGUACCAAUUGCCAUUUUGCGUACAACAAGAAUGCUGUGGGAAAUCAGAAAUCGUUUUUUAAUUUUCCUAAAGAUCCUAUAAAACACUAGUGAUCUAGCAAAAAGAUAUAAGUUGUGUUCACUUCAUUUUGAGGAUAAUAUAUUUAGCAACUUUCAAAAAAAUAGGCUUUAUUCUC